rnacentral:rRNA from 1 species
GAUGAACGCUGGCGGCGUGCUUAACACAUGCAAGUCGAACGGAAAGGCCAGUGCUUGCACUGGUACUCGAGUGGCGAACGGGUGAGUAACACGUGGGUGAUCUGCCCUGUACUUCGGGAUAAGCUAGGGAAACUGGGUCUAAUACCGGACAGGACAACUUUUCGGAUAUUGUUGUGGAAAGCUUUUGCGGUAUGGGAUGAGCUCGCGGCCUAUCAGCUUGUUGUUGGGGUAAUGGCCUACCAAGGCGUCGACGGGUAGCCGGCCUAAGAGGGUGUACGGCCACAUUGGAACUGAGAUACGGCCCAGACUCCUACGGGAGGCAGAAGGGGCGAAUAUUUCACAAUGGGAGCAAGCCUGAUGCAGCGAGGCCGCGUGGGGGAAGAAGGCCUUUGGGUUGUAAACUCCUUUCGCUAGGGACGAGUCUUUUUUGUGACGGUACCUGGAGAGAAAGCACCGGCUAACUACGUG